AAAAGAUGUAAGGUUAAUAAUGAUAGUCCCACAUAUUUGUGGCACUGCCGUCUUGGUCACAUUGGUGUCAAAUGCAUGAAGAAGCUCCAUGCAAAUGGACUUUUGGAGUCUCUUGAUUAUGAAUCAUUUGACACGUGCGAACCGUGCCUCAUGGGCAAGAUGACCAAGACUCUGUUCUCCGGAACAAUGGAGCGAGCAACCAACUUGUUGGAAAUCAUACAUACUAAUGUGUGCGGUCCAAUGAGUGUUGAGGCUCGCGGUGGGUAUUGUUAUGUUCUCACCCUCACUGAUCACUUAAGUAGAUAUGGG
rnacentral:rRNA from 1 species